ensembl:misc_RNA Metazoa_SRP Metazoan signal recognition particle RNA
GCUGGGCGUGGUGGUGCAUGCCUGUAAUCCCAGCUACUCAGGAGGCUGAGGCAGGAGAAUCACUUGAACCCGGGAGGUGGAGGUUGCGGUGAGGCAAGAUUGCACCACUGCACUCCAGCCUGGGUGACAGAGUGAGAGCCAGUUUUUU